CGGUGAGUUAGACGGUUCAGAAGUUAUACGACUUUGAAGUUUGAAAAAGGUUUUUGGUUCAUUUAAGCUGGCAGCCACUGUAAGUGGCGAGCAACUGUACACAUAUGAGACGAACAAAAAGAAAAAAGAGAACAGCUGAGCAUGUCGUGGGAAUACUGGAAAAGCUCGCCCAUAAGGAGCCUGCACGAAUAAGGCCCGCCUUUUUGUACUGUGAAAAUUACUUAGGGGAUCUGACAGAGGAGGAAGCCGUCGAAGUAGAAAAAAAAUGACCACCGUACUAUUUAAAGAGAUCGAAGCCAUACAAAUGGAGAAAUAUAGAGAAGAGAAUAAAUAGAUUUAUUAUGAAAUUU